rnacentral:rRNA from 1 species
CCUACGGGGGGCAGCAGUAGGGAAUCUUCCACAAUGGACGAAAGUCUGAUGGAGCAACGCCGCGUGAGUGAAGAAGGGUUUCGGCUCGUAAAGCUCUGUUGGUAGUGAAGAAAGAUAGAGGUAGUAACUGGUCUUUAUUUGACGGUAAUUACUUAGAAAGUCACGGCUAACUACGUGCCAGCAGCCGCGGUAAUACGGAGGUGGCAAGCGUUGUCCGGAUUUAUUGGGCGUAAAGAGAGUGCAGGCGGUUCAAUAAGUCUGAUGUGAAAGCCUUCGGCUCAACCGGAGAAUUGCAUCAGAAACUGUUGAGCUUGAGUGCUGGAGAGGGGGGUAGAACUCCAUGUGUAGCGGUGAAAUACGUAGAGAUAUGGAAGAACACCAGUGGCGAAGGCGGCUCUCUGGUCUACAACUGACGCUGAGGCGCGAAAGCAUGGGUAGCGAACAGGAUUAGAUACCCCAGUAGUC